AGCGUACCAUGGCAACGAACUGAUGUAUAUGAUAAUGGGGUGAAAUCUUAAAUACACUAACCUACAGAAGGAGGACACCUUAACAUUGUGUCACCUGCCAGCGGGAGCAGCACCACGGAUGGAUUCCAAGGGCUGAAGGACUCUCACUCGCAGCGCUGGGUUGUUCCCAACAGCACCGUUGUCUAGUCUCGUCUCCCACCUGCUUGUCAGAGUCUGAGGUCGUUAUUUUAAUACAAUUCCAGUUGGAGGGCUCAUCAUUGCAAGUGAAGCAUUUCAGUGAGGAAACUGCAAAAGGAAGAUGCAACACAGUUCAGACCCUUGCAGAAAACUCCUCUUUGGAAGUGCGCUGAGAAAACUGGCUGAUCCUACUAGGGAAAUAGUGACACUGGUGCCACAUAAAGUGCUAUCAAAUGUAUGGAGCUGAACAAGCUGGAAAAAUAGGGACAGAUGCUUUUUUUCUGAUCUCAGGCAUAUUAACCACAGUUGUUACAUCUAAUAGCAGUAAAAAUAUUUCAGACAGUGA